GGUCUUAUAUUCAUAAAAUGAUAUUAAAAUGCAAUUUUAAAGGUGUUUAUUAAACUAAGACUU
rnacentral:tRNA from 1 species